UACGGGGGGGGCAAGCGUUGUUCGGAAUUACUGGGAGUAAAGGGCUCGUAGGCGGCCAACUAAGUCAGACGUGAAAUCCCUCGGCUUAACCGGGGAACUGCAUCUGAUACUGGAUGGCUUGAGUUCGGGAGAGGGAUGUGGAAUUCCAGGUGUAGCGGUGAAAUGCGUAGAUAUCUGGAGGAACACCGGUGGCGAAGGCGGCAUCCUGGACCGACACUGACGCUGAGGAGCGAAAGCCAGGGGAGCAAACGGG
rnacentral:rRNA from 1 species